GCCGGGACGUUGCGGGGCGAAGAGCUUUAUCACGGGCUGGCGGCGGCGGGAGCCUAGCUCCCUCCCUGCUCCGCCUCCCGGUGCCGAUUAACGCUCCGAGGCGCCUUCGUCACCGCUUUGAAGGGACAGCCGAGCGGCGCCGCCGGGCUGACCCGGUUGUCUGUCAGGUGCCGCGUUGCGCAAGGCGGGCAGCCGGCACCGGCGCUGCGGACGCGGCCCGUAACUGCGGCCGAACUAUGUGGUUGUUUGCACAUUAUACAACAGUGCACAACAUAAUACCACAGUACUGCUUCCCCAGCUAUGGACACAUGGACACAGUCUGACUGACGCCUCUUCAGUGUGUUCCCUUCGUAGGAUAUCCCGGGUUGGAAAGGACCCGCCAAGGAUCGCGGAGUCCAACCCGCGGCUCCUCACAGCACCACCCGAAAUUGGUUUAAAUACCUCAAUAAGAGCGCCUUGAUCAUAACGAGGACAAAACGUUUAAAGAACUUACCAAUAACAACGGGGAAACUGUGAAAGAAAGGCAUUAAUUCUUUUUCUUACAGCGUUCUCACAGCAUUUAAGGCGGGGAGGAAAGUGUUGGAACGCAGAAGUAAAUUUGGUUGUGUCCUUGUCAUCAUGGUUACUGUUCUGACCGCUUCCACUGACCCCUGCAAGGAGCUAUGGGCUAACCAGGCUCUUCUUGGGAAUACUUUCAUCCUGGCACCAAAUAGAAACUGAACUUCUUCCACUGUUACUUCUCACACCGUGACCAGUCAAAAAAGGGACUUGGAGGAGGGAGACAGAAGGAAAAAAGCAACCAAACGAGUCACCACUCCUUUACUUCACAAGAUCCUAAAAUUAAAUGAUGACAAAGAAAUUAACCCAGGGCCUUACCUGGACGGUGCUGUAAACAUGUGCUGGCUUAAUGCUCAGCUGUAAUUAAAGAAACAAGCAAGAUGCCAGGAUGCAUAAAGAAUGGGAUGAGGAGGAGUACAGAAAUAUAGAAGCUGUGUGUGUCAUCUGAGUGGCGUAUUCUCCUGCGUGCUUCUCGCUGAUGUCACACCACACCUCCAUUCCUGAGCAAGGCUCCAAAGCUCAGGGAAGAGAGUGAAAAAAGAGCUGGAUAUUUGUACUGGAUCACUAACAUUGAGAAAAAGUAAUUUUUCUACCCGUGUCGUUUUGGAUGAAGCACACCUCCUAAGUACAUCUGGAAAGCUUUGUCAUAGCCUCAUGAAUCCCUGGAUUAGCAAAGGAAAACUAUUCACAGUGUGCCAUAAUGAAAAGCACGCUUUCACAAAAUGAAGCAAGUGAUUCAUUCUUCAAGUGAAGUUCUGCAGAGCGCCGUCUCCUUAAAAAUGACAGUGACAAACUAAUGAUAAUUAUUUGGGUUGCUCCUCCUCUUGCAGUGCUAUUUAGUUAGAAGCAACAGCUUCAAAGUACCUUAUGAGUCCCUGAAUAUAUUUAGGUCCAGUAAUACCUACAUUUGUCUUUGCGCGUUCUACAGCUGGACUCUAGACAUAGGGCCCAGCGUGGCUGCUAUUGCUUCUCAGGGCGUUGGUAACUAACCAGAUGCACUUCAUUUUCCUUUAUGUAACAGCUGUUGCAAAGUCAAAAAGUCAAUAGCAUUGGAGCAUCCAGCAGUUCAAGGAUGUAUCUCACAGUCAGGUGACACACUCUUGCACAUAGGGUUAUUUUUGUGAAUACGUGAGGUAAAAAUUGACAUAUUGUGCUGCACUACACGCACAACCCCAUCAACCUAAUGGGAAGACGGUCAAGCAGCAGAUAAUAAAAAUACUUUCAUGAUCUAAAUGAACGGAUGAACUAAUAAAAAAAUAAAAUUUCCUUACCUCAGAAAAUUGAAAGCUUUUUUUGUUGUUGUUUUUUAAGAGAACGGC
ensembl:lncRNA